rnacentral:rRNA from 1 species
AUUGAACGCUGGCGGAAUGCCUUACACAUGCAAGUCGAACGGCAGCACGGGAGCAAUCCUGGUGGCGAGUGGCGAACGGGUGAGUAAUACAUCGGAACGUGCCCAAUCGUGGGGGAGUAACGUAGCGAAGACUACGCUAAUACCGCAUACGAUCUACGGAUGAAAGACGGGGGACGUCGCAAGGGCCGUCGCGCGAAUGGAGCGGCCGAUGG